rnacentral:lncRNA from 1 species
UAAGACCCCAAAUAAUUAAUAAAUGAAAUUUAAUUUCCUCUAAUUAUUAUUUUGAAAUAGUAAGGGUUGAUGUGAUUAAUGUGGAUAGUUAUGGGUAAAAUACGCAAAUAUUUCAAAAUAAGCAAGUGGUUAUUAAAUAUUCAUUGUUGUCGGGGAAUAUUCGUUGGUCGUGGAAUAUUCGUACUGUCGGGGAAUAUUCGUACGACGGCGCAGCCAUGUGUGGGCCCCAUAACGAAAAGCGAUUGGAG